AAAAAGGAAAACCCUGUGUUUCCGUGUCCAAUUUUAACUGUCCGUCUUAUAUGAAAUUUUUUUAUAAUUCGUAUUUUUAUUGUUGUUAGAUGAUAAAACAUGAUUAACAUUUUAUGCGUGACUUGUCUUUUUAAUUUUUUCAUAAUUUUUUCAAAUAAGACGGACGAUCAAACGUUGGGCACGGAAAUCAGGGUUUGUCUUUUU
rfam:Oryza barthii chromosome 4, whole genome shotgun sequence.